UGUAAAGGAUAGUUGUUAAACAUUAUUUCAAUCUCUGGUACCGUAUGUAUGAGUUAAGUUGUCCGUCAAAAAGGCUAUAUAUUAUGUAUCUCCCGCUCGUUUUGAUCAUUAUAUUUGAACUUUAUGGUCUACUUCACAGGUCAACUUGAAUAUAAAAAUGGCUGCUCUCAGCGGAAAUGAUGACCGGAAAUAACGAUGUUUCGUAAUCGGUAAAUUCCGUAAGGAAUAAAAAAAUGAUUCUGAUGAUUAAAUUGAACAUCGUUUUUUUCUAACAUAAUUUUAGGUUUGUUCAAUUGAUUCAAGAUAUUUAAAACCAUGUAAAUAUGUUUUCUCUAACUGUUCCGAUCUCAACAUCGGUAAUUUUCGUAUAUAUGACACAAUAUGAUUGGUCAGAUUUUAAAACUCUUCCGUACUGUUCUCUGAUUGGUCAACAAUAUUUCACCCACGCCAUUUUGAAAAUUCUUCCCGGGACGUGUUGAGAAAGCUGGAGGUGAUUUUGAAUAAACUCUCAUUUGCUCGCGAGUAAAAUGGAUCGAAAAACAGAAGUUCAGCAUAAUCAUGGUACACAGGAUCAUAUAUAUGAACCAAGGAAAGCAAAUACAUAAGGAGACUGACGUUUUUUAGGCAUCAUAUCCGGACUUUUCUGGUGUAAACAACGACAGUUGCGUCAGCAGAACAUUGAAGAAAAGCUGAUUAGUCAUGGAGGAAGAAGAUCCCUCUCAAGAAAGUAUUGCAGUGAUGAAGUCAGAUGAGAUGACAGGUUGUGUGAUUUGAAGAUGGACUUCUGCAACAAAGUAAACACUCCUCUACCUUUUCCAUACAAAAGAAACAGCAAAGCAGAGAGAUCAAAACAGUUGGUAAAAGUACAAAGAAAACAGGAUUAGUUAAACUUGUGAAAAAUAUCAAGACUAUUGAAGAGCAGAUUAUAUGUAAAAAGAAAGAUCAAGACUAGAAUUGGUAGCUGAAUCAGUAGCCUGGCCACAUUAAUUACUUUUUAAUUAGCUAUUUGUACAUUUAAGGUAAUCUGACUGAGUUACUAAAAUUGUUAUUUAACAAAUAUUUCAAAUAAAUAAAAGAUUUUUGAAUAACAAUCAAUAGAUGCUAUUAAGAACCUCAAUCUCCAACCCCUUUUCUUCAAAUAACAAUUUUUGCCCAUGAUCAUUUUUGUAGUUUUUAAAACUCUGUUUUGUAUUAUUUUAAGCAU